rnacentral:rRNA from 1 species
GCAGGCCUAACACAUGCAAGUCGAGCGCACCUUCGGGUGAGCGGCGGACGGGUUAGUAACGCGUGGGAAUCUUCCUGGCAGUAUGGGAUAACCUGAGGAAACUGAGGCUAAUACCAUAUAUUCCUUUCGAGGGAAAGAUUUAUCGCUGCCAGAUGAGUCCGCGUCAGAUUAGCUAGUUGGUAGGGUAAAAGCCUACCAAGGCGAUGAUCUGUAGCUGGUCUGAGAGGACGAUC